UGGGGGAUAUUGCACAAUGGAGGGAACUCUGAUGCAGCGAUGCCGCGUGAGGGAAGAAGGUUUUCGGAUUGUAAACCUCUGUGGAGGGGGACGAUAAUGACGGUACCCCUUUAGGAAGCCACGGCUAACUACGUGCCAGCAGCCGCGGUAAUACGUAGGUGGCGAGCGUUGUCCGGAAUUACUGGGUGUAAAGGGAGCGUAGGCGGGAAGGCAAGUCAGAAGUGAAAAUUAUGGGCUUAACCCAUAACCUGCUUUUGAAACUGUUUUUCUUGAGUGAGGCAGAGGCAAGCGGAAUUCCUAGUGUAGCGGUGAAAUGCGUAGAUAUUAGGAGGAACACCGGUGGCGAAGGCGGCUUGCUGGGCCUUUACUGACGCUGAGGCUCGAAAGCGUGGGGAGCAAACAGGAUUAGAUACCCUGGUAGU
rnacentral:rRNA from 1 species